AACGAACGCUGGCGGCAUGCCUAACACAUGCAAGUCGAACGAGACCUUCGGGUCUAGUGGCGCACGGGUGCGUAACGCGUGGGAAUCUACCCUUGGGUUCGGAAUAACAGUUAGAAAUGACUGCUAAUACCGGAUGAUGACGUAAGUCCAAAGAUUUAUCGCCCAGGGAUGAGCCCGCGUAAGAUUAGCUUGUUGGUGGGGUAAUGGCCUACCAAGGCGACGAUCUUUAGCUGGUCUGAGAGGAUGAUCAGCCACACUGGGACUGAGACACGGCCCAGACUCCUACGGGAGGCAGUAGUGGGGAAUAUUGGACAAUGGGCGAAAGCCUGAUCCAGCAAUGCCGCGUGAGUGAUGAAGGCCUUAGGGUUGUAAAGCUCUUUUACCAGGGAUGAUAAUGACAGUACCUGGAGAAUAAGCUCCGGCUAACUCCGUGCCAGCCGCCGCGGUAA
rnacentral:rRNA from 1 species